AAAAUGACUCUCGGCAACGGAUAUCUCGGCUCUCGCAUCGAUGAAGAACGUAGCGAAAUGCGAUACUUGGUGUGAAUUGCAGAAUCCCGUGAACCAUCGAGUCUUUGAACGCAAGUUGCGCCCGAAGCCAUUAGAGCUGAGGGCACGUCUGCCUGGGUGUCAAAC
rnacentral:rRNA from 1 species